GAGCGUAGGGCGCGAGCGUUUGUCCGGAUUUAUUGGGCGUAAAGAGCCUCGUAGGCGGCUUGUUGCGGUCAGCUGUGAAAACCCGCAGCUCAACUGUGGGCUUGCAGCUGAUAGCGGGCAGGCUUGAGUUCGGUAGGGGAGACUGGAAAUUCCUGGUGUAGCGGUGAAAUGCGCAGAUAUCAGGAGGAACACCGGUGGCGAAGGCGGGUCUCUGGGCCGAUACUGACGCUGGAGGAGCGAAAGCGUCGGGGAGCGAACAGG
rnacentral:rRNA from 1 species